rnacentral:rRNA from 1 species
UUGAAAAAUGGGAGCUUGCUCAGGCGUCGAGCGGCGGACGGGUGAGUAAUGCAUAGGAAUCUGCCCGGUAGUGGGGGAUAACCUGGGGAAACCCAGGCUAAUACCGCAUACGUCCUACGGGAGAAAGCAGGGGCUCUUCGGACCUUGCGCUAUCGGAUGAGCCUAUGUCGGAUUAGCUUGUUGGUGAGGUAAUGGCUCACCAAGGCGACGAUCCGUAGCUGGUCUGAGAGGAUGAUCAGCCACAUCGGGACUGAGACACGGCCCGAACUCCUACGGGAGGCAGCAGUGGGGAAUAUUGGACAAUGGGCGAAAGCCUGAUCCAGCCAUGCCGCGUGUGUGAAGAAGGCUUUCGGGUUGUAAAGCACUUUCAGUGAGGAAGAAGGCCUUGGGGCUAAUACCCCCGAGGAAGGACAUCACUCACAGAAGAAGCACCGGCUAACUCCGUGCCAGCAGCGCGGGUAAUA